GGUAAAAGUGUUUGGUAAAUGGCACCAAAUUCCGAGAGAGCAAAGUGCAUAUGGUGAUGACGGUUUGAAAUAUAAAUAUUCAGGAAUAACUGUUUAUCCUAAGCCCUGGAUUGAGCCACUUGAAAACACAAGGAAUUUAAUAGAAAAAAUAACAGGAUAUAGAUACAAUUUUGUUCUCAUAAACAGAUAUCGUAACGGUCUUGAUUACAUAGGGGAACACAAAGAUGAUGAAGCAGAAUUGGAUAUUCACACCCCUAUAGCAUCAUUAUCUUUAGGACAACACAGGGAUUUUGUACUAAGACAUGAGAAUAGUAGAAAAAGGAAAUUGGGAUCUUCUUCUUUACCUACAGUUAAAUUAUGUUUGGAACAUGGAAGUUUACUUCUAAUGAAUUAUCCUACAAAUAAAUUCUGGUAUCACUCACUACCUCAACGUAAAAAAGUUCCUGGGGAAAGAAUUAAUUUAACGUUUAGAAAAAUCAGAAAUAUUUUGUAAUUACUUAAUGUAUUAAUAAAAUUUCAGUACGUAAUAAAAUAAAGGUUCAAAUGAAAUAUUGUAAACAAUAGAUUUGACAAUGUCAUUUUCGGGGUAAGCUUGUGUUAUUUUCGGGAGGAGUAGAAUAAUUCGUAAUUAAAGAAAUAUUGUUAUGUCUUUAAUUUUUAAAUUAGAACGUUGUAAAAAAUGGAAGCAACAUUAGACCUGAAAAGUGCAUUUGACAGUAUGAAACCUAAAGAGUUAGUUUGGAAUAAAUCAGAUGAUAGGAACAAGUUGGAUUUUACUUACACCAAACUCUUUUCUAAACCAAUAGCAGACGAACUUUACCGACAACUUAAGAAGUGCAAGCUUAAGAAAAUAAAGCGUAAAUUAGAAUUGGCUCCUAAAGAUGAGAGACCGAGAAAGUCAUGUUUAAAAACAAUCAAGGAGGAAUCGAUAGAUGAAUAUAUUCCCCGACCAAAAAAACGAAUUGUGUGUACAAAUAGAUCAAUACGAUAUGAUUUUACAGAAAGUCCGCUCCCUGCUAUGCCUUGGAUACCUGCUUUAGAAUUAACCAGAAAUUUGCUCGAAAGAAUAACUAAAUAUAGAUACAACUGUGUAGUUAUUAAAAAGUAUGACACUUAUUCCACUUUGCAUAAACAGUACAAAAACAAAGUAUAAAAACGGAAUUGACCAUUUAAAUGAGUACACUGAAGAGGAAGACAUGCAAAGUUUAUCUGUUCCUUUUGCCAUACUUUCGUUGGGUGGAACAAGAGAAUUCUUACUUCGACAUAAAUCAUUCGACUUUUCUGCAAAUAAUUUAAACCAAGUUAAAAUCGUUCUCCAACAUGGAAGCCUCAUUCUUAUGAAUCCAUUGCACUACAAACAAUGGCACCAUGCGUUACCAAGAAGUUACACACGAAAUGGUACCCGAAUGAGUCUAAUAUUCAAAAGAAUUACUUUUACGUAAUCAAGGCUUUAUAUUGUAUUGGUAUUAAACAUGCUUACUGUUUUUGUAAUGAAUUCUUGUUCAAAAUUAAACAUCUUUCAAAAGAAUUGAAUACAUAAACAAACUAAAGCUUUACUGCUAGUUAUUAAGCAAUGU
rnacentral:misc_RNA from 1 species